rnacentral:tRNA from 1 species
GCGUCUCGAAAGUGCCUGAUUAGCCUGGUAAGAGGAAUCUGAUUAGCAAUUAGCAGGUCAGAGGUUCGAAUCCUCUUGGACGCACCA